GCAGCGGUAAUUCAGUGGUAGAAUUCUUACCUUCCAUGCAAGAGACCCGGGUUUGAUUCCCAGCCAACGCA
rnacentral:tRNA from 1 species